CGUUGUCCGAAGUUACUGGGCGUAAAGCGCGCGUAGGCGGGAAAUUAAGUGAGAAGUGAAAGGCUGGGGCUCAACCCCAUGCAGUGCUCCUCAUACUGGUUUUCUUGAGGGUGGUAGAGAGAAGUGGAAUGGCUGGUGUAGCGGUGAAAUGCGUAGAUAUCAGUCGGAACACCAGUGGCGAAGGCGGCUUCUUGGGCCAUUACUGACGCUGAGGCGCGAAAGCCAGGGGAGCGAACGGG
rnacentral:rRNA from 1 species